CAGUAGCCGCGGUAAUACGUAGGUGGCAAGCGUUGUCCGGAAUUAUUGGGCGUAAAGGGCUCGCAGGCGGUUUCUUAAGUCUGAUGUGAAAGCCCCCGGCUCAACCGGGGAGGGUCAUUGGAAACUGGGAAACUUGAGUGCAGAAGAGGAGAGUGGAAUUCCACGUGUAGCGGUGAAAUGCGUAGAGAUGUGGAGGAACACUAGUGGCGAAGGCGACUCUCUGGUCUGUAACUGACGCUGAGGAGCGAAAGCGUGGGGAGCGAACAGGAUUAGAUACCCCAGUAGUCCCUGUCUCUUAUAU
rnacentral:rRNA from 1 species